rnacentral:rRNA from 1 species
UACGGGGGGAGCAAGCGUUGUUCGGAAUUACUGGGCGUAAAGGGCUCGUAGGUGGCCAACUAAGUCAGACGUGAAAUCCCCAGGCUCAACUUGGGAACUGCGUCUGAUACUGGAUGGCUUGAAUUCGGGAGAGGGAUGCAGAAUUCCAGGUGUAGCGGUGAAAUGCGUAGAUAUCUGGAGGAAUACCGGUGGCGAAGGCGGCAUCCUGGACCGAGAUUGACACUGAUGAGCGAAAGCUAGGGGAGCAAACGGG